CAGUCGAGCGGAACGAGUUAUCUGAACCUUCGGGGAACGAUAACGGCGUCGAGCGGCGGACGGGUGAGUAAUGCCUAGGAAAUUGCCCUGAUGUGGGGGAUAACCAUUGGAAACGAUGGCUAAUACCGCAUAAUGCCUACGGGCCAAAGAGGGGGACCUUCGGGCCUCUCGCGUCAGGAUAUGCCUAGGUGGGAUUAGCUAGUUGGUGAGGUAAGGGCUCACCAAGGCAACGAUCCCUAUCUGGUCUGAGAGGAUGAUCACCCACACUGGAACUGACACACGGUCCAGACUCCUACGGGAGGCACCAGUGGGGAAUAUUGCACAAUGGGCGCAAGCCUGAUGCAACCAUGCCGCGUGUAUGAAGAAGGCCUUCGGGUUGUAAAGUACUU
rnacentral:rRNA from 1 species